rnacentral:misc_RNA from 1 species
GAUCAUUACCGAGUUUACAACUCCCAAACCCCUGUGAACAUACCUUAAUGUUGCCUCGGCGGAUCAGCCCGCGCCCCGUAAAACGGGACGGCCCGCCAGAGGACCCAAACUCUAAUGUUUCUUAUUGUAACUUCUGAGUAAAACAAACAAAUAAAUCAAAACUUUCAACAACGGAUCUCUUGGUUCUGGCAUCGAUGAAGAACGCAGCAAAAUGCGAUAAGUAAUGUGAAUUGCAGAAUUCAGUGAAUCAUGGAAUCUUUGAACGCACAUUGCGCCCGCUGGUAUUCCGGCGGGCAUGCCUGUUCGAGCGUCAUUUCAACCCUCAAGCCCCCGGGUUUGGUGUUGGGGAUCGGCUCUGCCUUCUGGCGGUGCCGCCCCCGAAAUACAUUGGCGGUCUCGGCUGCAGCCUCCAUUGCGUAGUAGCUAACACCUCGCAACUGGAAC